rnacentral:tRNA from 2 species
GGGCCCGUAGCUCAGUGGUAGAGCGGUCGACUCAUAAUCGAUUGGUCGUAGGUUCGAUCCCUUCCGGGCCCA